UACGUAGGGGGCUAGCGUUGUCCGGAUUUAUUGGGCGUAAAGAGCGCGUAGGCGGCUUGGUAAGUCUGCUGUGAAAACUCGAGGCUCAACCUCGAGCUGUCGGUGGAAACUGCUUGGCUAGAGUCCGGAAGAGGAGAGUGGAAUUCCUGGUGUAGCGGUGAAAUGCGCAGAUAUCAGGAAGAACACCCGUGGCGAAGGCGGGUCUCUGGACAGUUCCUGACACUGAGACACGAAGGCCAGGGGAGCAAACGGG
rnacentral:rRNA from 1 species